rnacentral:rRNA from 1 species
CCUACGGGAGGCAGCAGUGGGGAAUAUUGCACAAUGGGGGAAACCCUGAUGCAGCAACGCCGCGUGAGUGAAGAAGUCAUUCGUGAUGUAAAGCUCUAUCAGCAGGGAAGAAAAUGACGGUACCUGACUAAGAAGCCCCGGCUAACUACGUGCCAGCAGCCGCGGUCAUACGUAGGGGGCAAGCGUUAUCCCGAUUUACUGGGUGUAAAGGGAGCGUAGACGGCGACGCAAGUCUGAAGUGAAAUGCCAGUGCUCAAAACUUGAACUGCUUUGGAAACUGGUUGGCUAGAGUGAAGGAGAGGGAAGUGGCAUUUCUUGUGUAGCGGUGAAAUGCGUAGAUAGUAGGAGGAACACCAGUGGCGAAGGCGGCUUACUGGACUGUAACUGACGUUGAGGCUCGAAGGCGUGGGGAGCAAACAGGAUUAGAUACCCGUGUAGUC